GGUGUCUGUAGCUGAAAGAUUGGGGAAGCUGAAAAGUCUGAAAGUUGAAGAAGUUUAAGGAGGAUUUGAAAACAAUUUCCAUUGGAAAACCAUGUUAAAAUAUUUAUGAUUAUUGAUUUAUAUAAAUUCAAGCAUAAGUGGUAGAAAGCUUAAAAGUCAUAGCCUUAAAGCCAGAAAGGAGCUGAACAUUUUAAUAUUUGAACGGUUUAAAUAGCUGAAAAUGUGAAGGAGUUGAAAGGUCGCGCGGAAGAAAUAGAAUAAUAAUAAGUCGGAAAUAAAGAUUCGAAGAACAAUACUUGGAAUGCAUCGUUAAUGCAUUCCAACAAAAAGCAUUUCCUGCUGAAAAUGCGUUGGAAUGCAAAAAGCUGAAAGCUGCACUGAAUAUUUAAAAAUAGCUGAAAAUACAGAAAGUUGAAGGGAAUUUGAAUACAUUUGCUGAUUAUUUAAAAAUAGCUGAAAAUACAGAAAGUUGAAGGGAUUUGAGUACAUUUGCUGAAUAUUUAAAAUAGCUGAAAAUACCGAAAGUUGAAGGGAAUUUGAAUACAUUUGCUGAAAAGAUUAGAAAAGCUGAAAUGAAUUUGAAAUUGCUGAAAAUACAGAAAUGGGAGAAGCUGAAAGGAAUUUCAAUAGAUUUGCUGAAAAAGCAGAAAUGAAAACAGCUGAAAUAAAUUUGAAAUAUUGCAAAAAAAUACAGAAAUGAAUAGUGAAAAAUUGCUGUUGAUAGAGGCAUAAGAAUAGCUGAAAUUAUUUUAAAGAACUGCUGAAAAUACAGGAAGUGGGGAAGCUGAAUUUCAAUAGAUUUUCUAAAAACAGAAGUUGCAGGAGCUUAAAUUUGUUUAAAAUUGUUUGUAGUAAUAUUAGUAGUAGUAUUAGUUAUAAUUGUGGUAUUAGUAGUACUAGCAGUAUAAGCAGUAAUAGUAGGUUUAGUAUCAAUAGCAGUAGAAACAGCUGUAAUACUAUUAGCCAUAGUCGUAUUUGUAAUAACAUUAGUAGUAGUUGUAGUAUUAAUAGCAGUAGAAAUA
ensembl:lncRNA